GGAGAGGUCGCAUAGCCCGGCUUAGUGCACCUGCUUGGAGAGCAGGAGUGCCCGUAAGGGUACCCAGGGUUCAAAUCCCUGCCUCUCCGCCA
rnacentral:tRNA from 2 species